GACGAACGCUGGCGGCGUGCCUAACACAUGCAAGUCGAGCGGAGAUAAGCGGAAGGUAACUGAAGCUUAUCUUAGCGGCGGACGGGUGAGUAACACGUGGGCAACCUGCCUUGAAGUGGGGGAUAACACCGGGAAAUCGGUGCUAAUACCGCAUAACAUACACAAACUGCAUGGUAAGUGUAUCAAAGGAGCAAUCCGCUUUAAGAUGGGCCCGCGGCUGAUUAGCUAGUUGGUAAGGUAACGGCCUACCAAGGCGAAGACGGGUAGCCGGUCUGAGAGGAUGGCCGGCCACACUGGAACUGAGACACGGCCCAGACUCCUACGGGAGGCAGCAGUGAGGAAUAUUGCGCAAUGGGGGCAACCCUGACGCAGCAACGCCGCGUGAGUGAGGAAGGUUUUCGGACCGUAAAGCUCUGUCGAGCGGGAAGAAAUGUAUCAUGGCUAAUAUCCAUGAUACUUGACGGUACCGCUAAAGGAGCACCGGCUAACUCCGUGCCAGCA
rnacentral:rRNA from 1 species